CAGGCUUGCAGCUGUGAGGAAGAUGGUUUAUUUGGGUUUGAUACACAUAGUGAUGGUGAUGGACAAAAGCAUCUGGUCACUCAUAUAGGUAUCAACAUCAAGCAGACAUGAAUGCUGCGCCGAAAGUGAAUGCCAUUCUUAGUCCUGCAGGCCUUCCUUUGCGCCCGAGGAAUGAUUUUCACCAACAUGUGUUGGUCAUAGUGGAGAAAAGACUUGAAAAUAACUUGUCAAGG